CACAAGCAGUGGAGUAUGUGGUUUAAUUCGACGCAACGCGAAGAACCUUACCAAGUCUUGACAUCCUGUGACGAUGCUGGAAACAGUAUUUUCCUUCGGGACGCAGAGACAGGUGGUGCAUGGUUGUCGUCAGCUCGUGUCGUGAGAUGUUGGGUUAAGUCCCGCAACGAGCGCAACCCUUACGGUCAGUACUACGCAAGAG
rnacentral:rRNA from 1 species